CUCCAGACUCCUACGGGAGGCAGCAGUGAGGAAUAUUGGUCAAUGGGCGGGAGCCUGAACCAGCCAAGCCGCGUGAGGGAAGAAGGUCCAGCGUAUCGUAAACCUCUUUUGUCAGGGAACAAAGGCGGGGACUAGUCCCCGGAUGAGGGUACCUGAAGAAAAAGCAUCGGCUAACUCCGUGCCAGCAGCCGCGGUAAUACGGAGGGUGCGAGCGUUAUCCGGAUUUAUUGGGUUUAAAGGGUGCGUAGGCGGGACGCCAAGUCAGCGGUAAAAUACGGGGGCUCAACCUGCGUCCGCCGUUGAAACUGGCGUUCUUGAGUGGGCGAGAAGUACGCGGAAUGCGUGGUGUAGCGGUGAAAUGCAUAGAUAUCACGCAGAACCCCGAUUGCGAAGGCAGCGUACCGGCGCCCAACUGACGCUGAAGCACGAAAGCGUGGGUAUCGAACAGGAUUAGAUACCCCAGUACG
rnacentral:rRNA from 1 species